UACGAAGGGGGCUAGCGUUGCUCGGAAUCACUGGGCGUAAAGGGUGCGUAGGCGGGUCUUUAAGUCAGGGGUGAAAUCCUGGAGCUCAACUCCAGAACUGCCUUUGAUACUGAUAGUCUUGAGUAUGGGAGAGGUGAGUGGAACUGCGAGUGUAGAGGUGAAAUUCGUAGAUAUUCGCAAGAACACCAGUGGCGAAGGCGGCUCACUGGCCCAUUACUGACGCUGAGGCACGAAAGCGUGGGGAGCAAACAGG
rnacentral:rRNA from 1 species